rnacentral:misc_RNA from 1 species
UGUGGGAGCGGGCUUGCCCGCGAUUGCGGUGGGUCAGAUCCAAUGAUGUUGACUGACACUCCGCUAUCGCGGGCAAGCCCGCUCCCACA